AAAUGCAUACAUAUGUGUAACGGAUGUAGUCGAGGUCUAUAAGGAUUAAUAUAAUUCUGACGAGAUGAAAGUGGAACAAUGCCUCGUUAUUGCAAUGAAACGGGACAGAUUGUGUGUGAUAAAUGACGACGGGGUUUACGACGACGAAUCAUCUUUUCAUUCAUGUCACAUCUCAUUUAUAACAGGGCAGGCCAUUCAGACGAAGAUCUGACUGCGUGGUCUGACGGUGUAUGUAGGUGUUAAAAGUAUAAAUUUAUAUGUUAACGAAAAAGAAAGUGGACUCACAUCACUGGAGGAUCUCGCCCUCGUGGAUUCGGACGACGUGCUUGGAUUAUUUGUACUGGAAUGCGCACUCGCCCUGCUCGGCCGAUGCGACCCACCGCCGCCUCCACCGCCGCUCCCACUCUGCGUCUGCCUCUUCCGCGGCGAUCCGGUGAACAUCAUCGUGACAAAUUGUAUAUUUAAUACAACAACCCUUGUUUCGGCUUUUCAUUCUAAAUACUUACCGAUACGAUGCUACGAUGCACCACCAUUCAGCUUAAAGAGAGAGCUCAUGUCUUUGUAUUCUUACUUGAAUGUCUUAAAUACGAAUGGAUUGACGUCAGUGAAUUUUUUGGAUCGAGUAUUUUCAUUCAUGAAAACCAAACUGUGUGGCUGAAAGAAAACAAGUCUCUUAAACUUAUAUAACACCAAAAAUGCUGGUGUGGAUGAGAUUAGUGUUGCAUUCGUGACAUAUUUCUUUAGGUAUUUACAAAUUUGAGGUAUGGAAUUUUGGGAGAUUUCUGCUCCAUUUAUUAUGAUUUUUUCAUUAAGUCGAUAUCUCCAGCGUAUAUGUAUAACAAUGAAAUAAGUAAAUUUAAUAAUUCUGGAUAAGUGUUAAAGCAAUAAUUGUUAAUAAAACUGAAAAAA